rnacentral:rRNA from 1 species
UCAAAGAUUAAGCCAUGCAUGUCUCAGUAUAAGCAACUUGUACGUGUGAAACUGCGAAUGGCUCAUUAAAUCAGUUAUAAUUUAUUUGAUAGUGACAUUUACUACAUGGAUAGCCGUAGUAAUUCUAGAGCUAAUACAUGCACAAAAGCCCGACUCGUGAGGGAAGGGCUGUGUUUAUUAGAUCAAAAACCAACGCUGGGUGUUAUAUUAAUAUUUAUUUUCGGAAGAUGUGUAUGUGUGUGUGUGUUUGGGUGGUGGUGAGGUAACUUAUCAUCAUUUAAAUUACUACUACUACUAUUUAACGGAAGGAAGUAUUAAUAACCCGACGCGAUGGUGAGUCAUGAUAAAAGUCGAAUCGAGUGUUUAAAAGCUCGAUAUGUCAUUCAAAUUUCUGCCCUAUCAACUUGUUGGUAGGAUCGAGGCCUACCACGGUUUUGACGGGUAACGGAGAAUUAGGGUUCGAUUCCGGAGAGGGAGCCUGAGAAAUGGCUACUACUUCUAAGGAAGGCAGCAGGCGCGCAAAUUACCCAAUCCCAAUUAUGUUAUUUGGGGGAGGUAGUGACAAAAAAUACCGAUGCUAGGUUCUUUUUAUAGGCCUAGUAAUCAGAAUGGUGUGGAAGUAAAUUUUCCACAGAGCAGCCAUUAGAGGGCAAGUCUGGUGCCAGCAGCCGCGGUAAUUCCAGCUCUAAUAGUGUAUAUUAAAAUUGCUGCAGUUAAAAAGCUCGUAGUUGGAUUUAGGUUGGGACAAGAUACUUUGAUGGUAGUACAUGUUUUCGUUAUGUACUUUACCUGUAUCUUGUAGGUGGUAGAUGACGUAUGUAAUUGUCAUUAAAAGUUGUUCCGACCGUCUUUUUUUUUAUAAGAGAAAGGAUUAUUCGAUUAGAAUAUCAUCUCCUUAAUUGGAGAGGGUAUCGUUUCGGAGGGUUUACUUUGAAGAAAUUGUAGUGUUUAAAGCAGGCGUUUCGCAGCUGAACACAUUAGCAUGGAAUAAUAAAAUAGGACACCUGAGUUUAGUACUUGUAUCUUGUGCGGGUAAUUAAUCUUCCAUGUAACGUUUCUUUGAAUAGAGAAGAGUUGGUUUAAAGUUGUUGUAAUGAAAAAAAGAUGUUAUUCUCUUUUGGGGGUAAUGUUUUUCUUUUAUUAUGCUCUUUUUGCUACUCUUUUCCCUUUUUGAAGUCUAAAAACACGCAUGAGAUUUUUUACUUUAUAUUAACGCCAAGAUAAGAGGAGGCUUAACUAUGCACGUAAAGUGUAUAUCUAUUUUGUUGGUUUAAUUGAGAGGGUGUAAUGAUUAAUAGGGACAGUUGGGGACAUCCGUAUUGCAUAGUUAGAGGUGAAAUUCUUGGAUUUAUGCAAGACGAACUAAUGCGAAAGCAUUUGUCAAGGAUGUUUUCAUUAAUCAAGAACGAAAGUUAGGGGAUCGAAGGCGAUUAGAAACCGCCGUAGUCUUAACUAUAAACUAUACCAACUAGGGAUUGGUGAGAGUUUUUAUUAUACAUAGCCUCGUCAGCACCUUUAGAGAAAUCUUAAGUCUCUGGGUUCUGGGGGGAGUAUGGUCGCAAGUCUGAAACUUAAAGAAAUAGACGGAAGAGCACCACCAGGUGUGGAGCCUGCGGCUUAAUUCGACUCAACACGGGAAAGCUCACCAGGUCCAGACACGAGAAGGAUUGACAGAUUGAUAGCUCUUUCUUAAUUUUGUGGGUGGUGGUGCAUGGUCGUUCUUAGUUGGUGGAGUGAUUUGUCUGGUUAAUUCCGAUAACGAACGGGACCUUAACCUGCUAACUAGCCCAGUUUCAAAAGAUUCCUUUUGAGACUAAGUGACGGGGAAAGUGGAAGGGAGUUGGAGAAGAGGGAGGGAAACCUUUCUUUUUUUUUGAUUCUUGGAAGCUUUUGUUGGAGAAGGGCUUCUUAGAGGGACUGCCAUGGUUGCACAUGGUGGAAGCUUGAGGCAAUAACAGGUCUGUGAUGCCCUUAGAUGUCCUGGGCCGCACGCGCGCUACAAUGAUGCAGUCAGCAAGCUUGUGCUUGCCUGAAAAGGUAAUUUAUGUACCUUUCCUUCCUCUUUUGGGGGGGGGGUAUUUAAGCGGCUAAUCUUAACGAAACUGCAUCGUAUUGGGGAUUGAUCUUUGUAAUUUUGGAUCAUGAACUAGGAAUACCUAGUAAGUGCGCUUCAUCAGGGCGCGCUGAUUACGUCCCUGCUUUUUAUUCUCACCGCCCGUCGCUCCUACCGAUUGAAUGAUCAGACGAAAUGCUCGGAUGUGCGGUGGUUGCGUUUUUUUUGUAUAUGGAGGGGUAAUACCUUUCAUGUAUUAUAGGGCGCAUUGCUGUGCAGAAGAGUAGUGAAUCUUAUUAUUUAGA